GCUUACGGCCAUACCACUAUGGAAUUGCCCGAUCUCAUCUGAACUCGGAAGUAAAGCAGGUCGGGCCUGGUUAGUACUUGGAUGGGAGACCGCCUGGGAAUACCAGGUGCUGUGAGCU
rnacentral:rRNA from 1 species